rnacentral:rRNA from 1 species
AUUGAACGCUGGCGGCAGGCCUAACACAUGCAAGUCGAACGAGUGGCGGACGGGUGAGUAAUGUCUGGGAAACUGCCCGAUGGAGGGGGAUAACUACUGGAAACAUUAGCUAAUACCGCAUACCAUCGGUUGAGCCCAGAUGGGAUUAGCUAGUAGGUGGGGUAAAGGCUAACCUAGGCGACGAUCCCUAGCUGGUCUGAACGGAUGACCGGCCACACUGGAACUGAGAAACGGCCCAGAUUCCUACGGGAGGAAGCAGUGGGGAAUAUUGCACAAUGGGCGAAAGCCGGAUGCAGCCAUGCCGCGUGUAUGAAGAAGGCCUUCGGGUUGUAAAGUACUUUCAGAGAGGAGGCGUUACUCGCAGAAGAAGCACCGGCUAACUCCGUGCCAGCAGCCGCGGUAAUAC